AGAUAGUUCAAAGCCAGCCUGCUCUACAUAGUAAGUUCCAGGACAGUCAGAGCUACUUAGAGAGACCCUGUCACAACAACAAAGAGCACCAUAUAAUGAACUUUAAAUGGUAUUGUGCAGAUGCUGUGUUGACAAUGAAAGUGAGAGCCAGAGAACCUCCACCAUUGUCAGAGAAAAGAAACUGGGGCCAGCAAGAUAGUAAAGGUGCCUGCCACCUAGCCUGAGGAACUAAAUUCCAUCUCUGAGCCAUACAUGGUGGAAGGAGAGAACCAGCUCCCAAAAACAAAUGUGUUUACACUUCUGGCAGACACAUCCAAGCAUCAGUUGCUGACUACAGCCUGCUCCAAAAGACUGUGAACCCUGGACUUGCUGCUAUGGACCAGUCCAGCCAAUGUGAACACUCCCCAUAUCUUCAACAGAGUCUUGGAGCCAGCUGCUUCUGAUAAAGACCCCCUUGUCUAAAUCCCCUUUUUGCUUUUGACUAGCAUUUCAGCCUGCUUGGACCCCUGACAACAACACCCCAAAAGUCAGCAGGAGGUAGCACAGGAACGAAUACGUUGUCCCUUUUCCCUGGUUGAAAUGCUAAGUCAAAAGAAAACUCCCUUGCAUAGGGGACAAGAGGACAGUAGAACUUGUACCCCAAAUUUCCCCAGAGUCUUUUAAAUUGUCCACUAGUAACCCAAGAGUGGGUUGCCUAUAAGAAAAGGGGGGAUGUAAGAGCAAGGUAAACUGGAGAGGAUGGAGUUAGCGCCAUCCUCAGAAAAAGUCACCGUGGUUCACCACUCUGUUGUCCACCCGGAUGCGUCCCUUGCUUAUUCUACUCCUUUGGACCUUGCAUUCUUAAUCACUUAGUUACUUUUGUAAGAAAAAGAGUGAGUGCAGUUCAAGUUUUGAUGCUUAGACAACAGUAUGAUUCUUUAGUUAGAACUGAGUGUUAGACAUAAAUUUCAGGAUUGAAAUUAGUAACUAGAAGGAGAGGGGAAUGAAGAGCCCCAAAAGUUAUCCCCUCAACAGUUGAAAAAUUACUAAGCUGUCCCAUCCUUGGACAUGAGCAGCUGCACUUAAAGAUAGACAUCCUCCCCUGGUGGUCAUCAAGGACUUGAAAAUAUUUCCCAGACCUCAGUCCUCAAGGACUUGGGAACAUUCCCCAGACCUCAAGGUUCCAGGCUGGUCACAAAGUUCAGCCAGGGCACAGACAUUGCCUGAGACAGACAACGAGCCAGUCAGCCAGACAGCCACAGCAUUAAGUGAUUCAUGAAGGUCUGGCACCAACUUCCAAACUCCCCUUGUAUCCCCACCACCCUGAUUGCAGUUUUAGGUUUUAAAAACUCGUUGUAAUUUAUGCUUGGGGUUCACUCCUUCCCCAGUGCGCCGGCUUAAUAAAAAUCCUCUUGCAUUUUGCAACGA